GAUGGACGCUGGCGGCGUGCCUAAUACAUGCAAGUCGAGCGAACGGACGAGAAGCUUGCUUCUCUGAUGUUAGCGGCGGACGGGUGAGUAACACGUGGAUAACCUACCUAUAAGACUGGGAUAACUUCGGGAAACCGUAGCUAAUACCGGAUAAUAUUUUGAACCGCAUGGUUCAAAAGUGAAAGACGGUCUUGCUGUCACUUAUAGAUGGAUCCGCGCUGCAUUAGCUAGUUGGUAAGGUAACGGCUUACCAAGGCAACGAUGCAUAGCCGACCGGAGAGGGUGAUCGGCCACACUGAGACUAAGCCACGGUCCAGACUCCAACGGGAGGAAGCAGGGGGGAGUGUGAGAGAAUGGGCGAAGGCCUGAAGGAGCAAGAUCGCGGGAGUGAAGAAGGCUGUCGGAUUGUAAAGCCCUGUUAUGGGGAAAGAACAGAAGCGGGAGAAAACGUCGCAAUUCUGACGGUAACGAAAAAGAAAGCAACGGCUAACUUCGUG
rnacentral:rRNA from 1 species